rnacentral:rRNA from 1 species
UACGGAGGAUGCGAGCGUUAUCCGGAUUUAUUGGGUUUAAAGGGUGCGUAGGCGGGAUGCCAAGUCAGCGGUAAAAAUGCGGUGCUCAACGCCGUCGAGCCGUUGUAACUGGCGUUCUUGAGUGGGCGAGAAGUAUGCGGAAUGCGUGGUGUAGCGGUGGAAUGCAUAGAUAUCACGCAGAACUCCGAUUGCGAAGGCAGCAUACCGGCGCCCUACUGACGCUGAGGCACGAAAGCGUGGGUAUCGAACAGG